rnacentral:lncRNA from 1 species
GAGGCGGGGUCUUCCGGUUGCCUGCUGGAAGUUUGUUUUUGCUCUGCAGGAUUGAAGGGUUCUCCCUAUGCUGCUUUGAGCGCUGCUAUUGGGUGCCUUGAGGGGACCUCAAGUAAGCUCCAUUUUUGAAACAUGGUAAGCACAUGGUUACUGUCUAUAACGGGUAGAGACAGGUGGCUGAGCAGUGGGAGCUGAGAUGGUGGGUCCUCUCUGGGGCUGGAUGGGAAGCCUCAACCAGAUGUAACCAGAUGUGGCCAAUUGUGCGGUCCUUUGUGAUGCUCCUCACUUGCUAAAACAGGCGGUGAACUCUGAAUAACAUCAGUAUCAGGGCUGAAUCUGCUCAAAACAUUAGGAUUAGGGGCUUGCUUGUAGAAAUAUCACGGGCAGGAUGCCAAACUUGGAGAGCUCUAGUUUCUCUUGAAUCUUCUAUAAGUUUUGCCCCUAGCAUUUACCUAUUAAGUAUAAGAUCCAUUUAUAGUUAAUUUUGUGGAGCUGUUAAAAGGCAUCUCAUGUGCUGGGUAGCACUCCGAUAUUAAGCUGAGAUGUAGAAGAGUAGAAUUGAUGAUGUAAAGGGUUUACCAAGCUUAGGAAAUAGUGACAGUAAGUAGCAUUUAGCUGAUAGAAAACUGUGUCAAAAACACCCCACAGGUUAGUAUGCUAAGCAGGCCGGUUAGAGACUCAAGUUUACUCUUCUGACUGACUGAUUAUUUCUUCAAGACUAAUAGGUUAUUUCUCUGCCAUUGAAAUAAGCCAGUUCAUCCCAGAUUAGAUUAGAUUAGAUCAGAUUAGAUUAGAUUAGAUGUAGGUUUUUUUGGGUGAAGUCCCUGAGGGAGGGGUGGCUUGAGGGGGAAGGAAAGACAUUAGGUUGUGUGCACAGAGAGGAAAGGGAAGGAAAAGGGCAAGAGGAGACCACAAUGUCUGGAUUAUAUAGGAAAGAGCCUCUGGGAGAAGGCAGCCCAGCCUCUGGUCUGGAAAGUUCAGGGUAGGGGACAGGUUUUGCCAGCUAGGGACUGAGAAAACCUGGAGGCCAGGUCUGCUUUGAUAUGUAAAAUACACACCUCAGUGCCUUGUCUAGAACAUUGACCUCUUGAUCUGGUUCACCCCACUACACUGUACCCUCUUCUCUCUACGUAUUAGCUUCAGUCAUCCCCACUCCGAAAUUUCCCAAAUGUCUCUAUGUCUUGCUAUGUUCUCCUUUUUAUCUAUAAUAAAAUUUCUACUACACCA